rnacentral:lncRNA from 1 species
CGGACGUCACGUGGAUGCAGAGCCCUCUUUCACUGCUGCUGAGCUGCAGCCGCCCCGCGCAUCCCUGCAGUGUGUGCAGCACAGCGCGUCCCAGAGGUGCUGACCAGGAUGCAGGAUUCCCUGGGAUCCAAAGAUCCCCAUCCUGCUGUGCCCCAGAUCUGAUGUGUAAGGAGCAGGAAAAUCUAAACACAAACGAGGAGUGCAGGAGGCACCGGCGCGAUGCGUGAUUUUAAGAUCCCACUGGUUGGUGCUUCGCUGCCUUUCUUCUCGGAGAGAGCCCUCUCAGCACAGCCAGAUGGACCCAGGGGUGCAGCUGCCCCACCUGCCCCAUGCUGCCCCACACCUCGCUCCCUGGCACUGUGCUCCGCAGGGAUGUGGGCACCGUGCUGAUGCUGCGUGCUGUGUCAUUGGAGUCAACACAGAGGUUCUUCCCAUCCCUGCGGCUGUAAUAUCUGGAGCGCCUCCGCAGAUGAAAGGAAAAGACACCAUCUCUCCCACUCUCGCUCGCUCCGUGAGAGCUGAUGCAGUUAAUUGGAGCUUCUUGUGAGCGCACAUUAACACAGGCAGAGCCAAGAAGACGUCUUGGCAGCGAAAUAUCAUUAUCAGCUCUUGAGCUCCAGCCAAAAUCCCCUUGCGGUCAAAACACAAUUCUUUAAACUAAACAAUUAAAGAUUUGUGCAAGUGUUGCUGCCAUGAGUUAUCGGGGCCGGGGGGGCAGCGGGGAUGCAGGUGAUGGCUGAGCCCCAGCGUGGGGCAUGGGGAGGGGCCCUGUGAGCCAUCCCCAGUGUCCCCAUGGGGCUCAGCCCAGUGGCACCGGGAUGAAAGGGAGCAGUGUGGGGACCCUUUGGAUGGAGCUCAUGGCACCGGGAGC